GAAGUGACGUGUCCUUGGAAGAGGAAGUGCACGAGGAGAACGUGUGGAGCUGGAGAGCACGAGUGGCCUGCUGUAGUGAGGGCUUUGUUGUACGCGGCAGACAUGUUCCUGCAGUAUUACCUGGAUGAGCAGGGAGAUCGGGUGUACACCAUGAAGAAAGUGGCUCCCAGUGGACAGCCGACCUCUUCAGCCCAUCCCGCCCGCUUCUCUCCCGAUGACAAAUAUUCCCGACAUCGCUUCUCCAUCAAGAAGAGAUUUGGCCUCCUGCUCACCCAGCAGCCCCGGCCGGUUUUAUGAGGCGUGCGGAGGAACGACAGCUGGACUUGGAAUCUCUCAGCUCCUUCUUCCCACAUUCCCUCUUGUUGGACAUUUGUGACUUUGUCACUUAUCAUGGGAGGUGUUUUGUGAGCUUUGUAUAAAAUAAAGGUCUGGGCGUUCA